CCAGCGCGGACGUCCACCCGCUCUUCUCCCAGCUUCUCGCCCCAGACAGGGCGGGGCUUGUGCAGGAAGAACUGUCGCAGCAUCCCUAUUUCCGGAGAAGGCUGGAGGGACUCGCGUUCGCCGAGGCUGCGCUUGGGUGUGAUGGCCGCCGCGCUGGACCCCGAAGGACCACCUUGAGUAUGACUAGGGACAGAUGGGCCCGGGACCCUGGAUGUUCUAUCUUAACGCAGCCGGGCACGGUGACGCACGCCGUUAAUCCCAGCACUCGGGAGGCAGAGAGCCCUGUGUGAAGAGCAGCUGAUAAUGUCGGUUUGGGAAGUUGGCUGGAAAAAACUUACUCAUGAAGGGGCUGGAAGGAAAGACAAAGCGGUUGACAACCGGCAGUGACAGCUGUGACGAUCUCCCCCAACACCCAUCUACUGCUGCUGUCUGUCCCGUUGCACUGUGGAGAAAGAGAGAGAAAGAAAAAGGUAUUGGAGGAAUGGGUGUGCCAGGGCCUCCUGCCACU